CUUUAAAGAUUCGUUAAAAAUUUUUUUUGGUUUAUAUGCCUUUUGCAUCAUGCUAUUAGGAAAAUUUUGAUUUAUUUAUCUAAAACCGAAAAAUUUUGAUUUUUAUUGUUGUUGGCGAGAAAAAACCGGGUAGGGUUUAAAACAGCAUUAACGUUGUGAAACAUUAAUCGUAAUAUUUUAUAACUGUUUUAAUGGUUAAUAUUUUAUAUAACUAACUUGGCUAAGAGGUCAAGCUAGAGUUUAUACCUUUUUUAUGUUUUAUUAUAGUAGGGUUAAAAUUACCCACCCGUAAAAUUGUGUUACAACUUUUUAACAUUUUACUUAGGUUAAAUUUAGUGCCAUUAUAAUAUAAUUUAACGAUUUUAUUUAUCUAUUAAUAAGUAAUUUUAUCAAAAUUGUUGUUUCUCAUUAGCAUCCCGUCUGUUUAUUAAAAACAUUUCCAUAACUAAUAUUUUAUGGUAGAACCUGCUCUAUGUUUUUAUAAAUGGCCGCAGUAUCUUGACUGUGCGAAGGUAGCAUAAUUAAUUGCCCUGUAAUUUAGGGCUUGUCUGAAUGGUUUGACGAGGUUGUAAAUAACAUCAUUUUUAUACUUGAAAUUAAUAUUACGGGCACAGAAUCCGUAAAGUUUAAUUAGACGGAAAGACCCCGGGAUCUUUUAAAUUUUGCCUGGGGCAGGUUUACUUGUUUCAAGUUUGUUUAGACCCUUUUUAUGGUUUAUCGAUUUAAGUUACCCCGGGGAUAACAGUGUAAUAUCUUAUUAGAGACCCAAUCGAAUAAGUUGUUUGCUACCUCGAUGUUGACUUAGGUUAAUUGUUUGGCGCAGUAGUUGAAUGAUUUUGGUCUGUUCGACCUUUAUGACCUCCAUGAGUUGAGUUAAGACCGGUGUAAGCCAGGUCGGUUCUUAUCUAUUUUUCUAACUUAUUAGUACGAAAGGAUUGUAAGUUUUUUUAUU
rnacentral:rRNA from 1 species